AACAAAAUGCCUGAAAAAAGGGCUAUUUUGAUAGAAUAGAUCAUGUAAAUUUACUUUUGUUA
rnacentral:tRNA from 1 species